rnacentral:rRNA from 1 species
UACAGAGGUGGCAAGCGUUGUUCGGAAUUACUGGGCGUAAAGGGCGCGUAGGCGGCCAUCUAAGCCAGACGUGAAAUCCCCCGGCUUAACCUGGGAACUGCGUCUGAUACUGGGAGGCUUGAGUAUGGGAGAGGGAUGUAGAAUUCCAGGUGUAGCGGUGAAAUGCGUAGAUAUCUGGAGGAAUACCGGUGGCGAAGGCGGCAUCCUGGACCAUUACUGACGCUGAGGCGCGAAAGCUAGGGGAGCAAACGGG